CCUCAAUAGGCUUGUAUCCUGGGAGACAGAAUGUGUUUCUGGUCACUCAUUCUAACCCAAGAAAUCAAGGAAAAUAACAGACUUCCACAGAAGCUAGACUGACCAGGCGAUACUGUGACCGGGCAAGCAUGGCUUUUGACAGUAAAUCCCGGAGAGGAACAGAGAGAUGCAGAUACUUGAUCAUUCUUUGCCUAUAAACACAAUGGUUACAUACCCCCAGAUCUGACCUUGCUGUAGAUCCAUCUGAAAGGAAGGAAUCAAGCCUCUGUGUUCCUGAAGUCAGGUCCUUUUCACUCCCAAAAACACAGGUUCAUUUGCGGUGGGUCUGAGGCUAGGUGCUCUGGGUUAUCUAGUGCUUCCUGAAGCCCUAGUUUUGAAAGAAGAAGCAGGAUGAAUUUUUCUGUAUUGGGGACAUUGGAAGGGGAGAAUUAGGCUUUGCUCCACUAGAUAAUGCAGAAUUGUGAAUAAGGACAAGGUUUGCAGAUUCUGCAGCAGCUCAGGGGCAGGGUCUUAAAGGUGUCAGGCACUUAAAGGGUACAGGGCAGGACAUCAGGAGCCCAGUCUGGGGACCUACCCAAGAUGCUCUCAUGUGGAGUUUCUGCAGAACAUGAGCAAGGACCUGGAUCUGGAGAUGUGGAAUAGCAAUGUUGGGCCCAUAAAUGGGACCACAAAUGGACCCAGCAUCUGAGCCACAGCAUCAUGUGACCAUAAGAAUAACAGCCAUAAUUGCAACCCUGGAUGAGACCAGGGAUUUGCCCCACUCAAGAACUGAGAGGCUGCAGGACCAUUUUAUAAGGAUGACACAAGCCUACAGCAUGACUGUACAAAACAACGUUGG
rnacentral:lncRNA from 1 species